rnacentral:rRNA from 1 species
GAUGAACGCUGGCGGCGUGCCUAAUACAUGCAAGUCGAGCGAACAGACGAGGAGCUUGCUCCUCUGACGUUAGCGGCGGACGGGUGAGUAACACGUGGAUAACCUACCUAUAAGACUGGGAUAACUUCGGGAAACCGGAGCUAAUACCGGAUAACAUGUUGAACCGCAUGGUUCAACAGUGAAAGACGGUUUUGCUGUCACUUAUAGAUGGAUCCGCGUCGCAUUAGCUAGUUGGUAGGUAACGGCUUACCAAGGCAACGAUGCGUAGCCGACCUGAGAGGGUGAUCGGCCACACUGGAACUGAGACACGGUCCAGACUCCUACGGGAGGCAGCAGUAGGGAAUCUUCCGCAAUGGGCGAAAGCCUGACGGAGCAACGCCGCGUGAGUGAAGAAGGUCUUCGGAUCGUAAAACUCUGUUAUUAGGGAAGAACAAAUGUGUAAGUAACUAUGCACGUCUUGACGGUACCUAAUCAGAAAGCCACGGCUAACUACGUG